AGAUUCUUAAAAACCCAGGGAGGAACUCUCAGCAUUGCAGUGAUGACCUCUGUAACCAAGAGUACACAAAUAAAGAACAAUAAAGUAAAUGAAGCUCCAUUAGCACUGAAAACCAGUGAGGUGAGGAAGAUCCAUUCUACAGUUAGAAGGUCUUAAUCACAACUGUGUCAUGUCUACAGUUAUUUUUGCAAGAUGCGGCACAGGACACCCUAUGGGCAGCUUAUGCUGGCACCCUAGAGGGCAAUAUCCCGGCAGAUGGCUUCUCAACGAAUUCUUCAGCAUGGCGUCUUCUCAGGGAUGGCUUCCCUACACCAGAGGACAGAGUCUUCACAGCACUACUGCAAGGUCUCCACCAUCCAGUGGGUCAUGACUGCAGAGUCUCCAGUGAAGUCUGAAUCUCAUGGGCAGGGGAGAGGAGGGUAGGGUCUUCCAAAUGUGUUUCUUCCUUGGACGCUCCACCUCAGCCCUAGAUGGGGGGCUGCUCCCCACAUCUGCUAUUACUCUUCCUUUCCUUAUGUUUUCUUUACUCCUUAGUAGGUUAUAGUUAAUACUGUUAUAGUUAAUACUUCUUUAUAUUAAACUUCCUUUGUUUCCAUU